rnacentral:lncRNA from 1 species
UGGAACCUCUUUGAAGUGCAGCAGCUGGAUUUCGAUGAAUUCAGGCCUUGUAAUGCUCAACAGUUCUUCUAUGCAGCUUGUAGAGUUGAUUGGAAGAGAGAUCGAAGCUCAAUUGCUCUUGAAUCCAACGGAAUUUGACAUUGCCAUGGAUGAGUUCAAGCUUCAAUAUGCUUCAAUCUUGUACUGUUUUCUUUAACUCCACGUGUAAACCUGC